rnacentral:pre_miRNA from 1 species
CAUAUACUCUCUUCGAUCCAUACUAAUCGUCGAAAUAUUACAUGUAUUUAGGCUUUUUUUAGACAUAGAUACAUUCAUAUUUGGACAAACUUUAGACAAUUAAUAUUGAUCGGAGGGAGUACCAU